rnacentral:rRNA from 1 species
UACAGAGGGGGCUAGCGUUAUUCGGAAUUACUGGGCGUAAAGCGUGCGCAGGCGGUUUCGUAAGUCUGUCGUGAAAUCCCCGGGCUUAACCUGGGAAUGGCGAUGGAGACUGCGAGGCUAGAGUUUGGCAGAGGGGGGUAGAAUUCCACGUGUAGCAGUGAAAUGCGUAGAGAUGUGGAGGAACACCGAUGGCGAAGGCAGCCCCCUGGGUCAAAACUGACGCUCAUGCACGAAAGCGUGGGGAGCAAACAGG